GGUUCUUUGAAAAAUAAAUAUAUAAAGAGUCGAGCCUGCCCAGUGAUCAUUUUAAACGGCCGCGGUACUCUGACCGUGCAAAGGUAGCAUAAUCAUUUGCCCUAUAAUUGAGGGCUUGUAUGAACGGUUUGACAAAAGCAUAACUGUCUCUUUAGAAUUUUAUAGAAUUUGGUUUUUAGGUGAAGAAACCUAAAUAUAAUUGAAAGACAAGAAGACCCUAUCGAGCUUUAGAGUAGCUAACCAAAAAAUAUCAUUGAAAUAAUUAAUUUUGGUUAAAAACUUUGGUUGGGGCGACUGAGGAACACACAAAGCUUCCUUUAUUAAAAUAUGCUUAUAAGCUAUGAUCCAAAAAAUUUGAUUAAAAAAAUUAGUUACCGUAGGGAUAACAGCAUAAUCUUUUUCAAGAGCUAUUAUCGAAAAAAAGGUUUGUGACCUCGGUAUGGACUAGGAUACCCUAAAAAAAGGUUUUUUUUCAAAGGUCGGCCUGUUCGACUUUUAUUUUUCA
rnacentral:rRNA from 1 species